AUUGUAACAACAUUAAAUUCAGUGUACACUACACAAGUUAGUAUAGGUGCCGGCAGGGCGACAAGCCCUUACGGAAUCUUAUAUAUGAUUAACUAACUAAAGACUAAAGGGGCACCUGACA